UUUUUUGUUGUUGGGUUUUUUAAUUUUUUUUUAAAUUUUAUUUAUAUAUUUAUUUAUUUAUUUUGGUUUUUUGAGACAGGGUUUCUCUACGUAGCCCUGGCUGUCCUGGAACUCACUCUGUAGACCAGGUUGGCCUCAAACUCAGAAAUCCGCCUGCCUGUACCUCCCAAGUGCUGGGAUUAAAGGCAUGUGCCACCACUGCCCGGCAAUAACUACAUUUUUUAAAGUUUAAUAUAUUGCUUGGUUUACUUCUGACAGUAUGAAUACUUUUUUAAUAGUAAAAACCACUCAAGGUUCCCAAUUUGUAUACUUAUUCUUUUAGUAACAAUUUUAUAUAUUGAUAACUUGAGUUUCAAAUAUUUCUGGAAACAUUCCCUAUGUUCAAAUAUUUGUCAUCUUUUCUUUCUUUUUCCUUUCUUAUUUUUUCUUUUUUUAUACCCAGGGGCCACAGAGAUCUGCUUGCCUCUGUCCUCUGUGCUGGGAUUAAAGGGGUGCACCACUAGGUACAAAAGGCUGUUUUUAGGUGUGGGAGAAUAACACAAACAAAAGGUGCACGGAAGACCCGUAGCCAGCAAAGCAGAGGGGAGGACUGUAUGAAGGAUCUUUGUCUCUCCUUGAGGGCUCGAAGAUUUUAAGAUUUUGACAAAGAUUGGAAGCCUGAUAGGUCCAGAACUCUGAGGUAAACACACCCUGGUCUGCCCUUGAAUUUGACAGACCCAUCCACAAGCAAGGGGCCUUACAGUCAGAGAAAAAGCCUGCCGAGCCUUUGUUCUCAGAUGCUACGCUUUUGUCUUAGGUCAAGAGGAAGAAGCAGCAGCCAGUCAUCCUGAAAAUUCAUUAUCUUCCUUUAUCUAGCCAUGGGCCUUAAAAGCAAUGUCCCACCAGGGGGCUUGUCAGUAUCCGUGAGGAGAGGUCAGACGCUAACAUACUUUUUUAAAAGGUAUAUAUAUUUUUAGAAUUAUAUGUAUGUUGAGUAUUUUACCUGGGUGUAUUCCAGUAAGGCACUAGGAGUUAAAUGGAUUCUAUGACAGGCAGACAGGGAGAGAUAUAGAGCACCCACAUAGUGGUACUCACAGCAGGCAUGCAUCCAUAAACACAAAUCUUAAAAUUUACAAAAAGAAAAAGAGGCUCCCUCCUCUGCCUUAUUGCUCUGAUUGUGUUCAGAGAUCCCACCAUGCCCCUGGUGCUGAGGCCUGCACUCUCACCACACUAUUGUCCCUCUGUCUGUCUUAGGUGUUAAUUCCAAAGAUUCGAGGAGAAAGACAAACCCAAAUCAUCAUGACCAAAUUAGUUAAAGCAAACAAUUAAUUUAAAGCAAGAUUUUUUUUUUUAUUUGUGUACAGGUGUAGCCAUGUUUUUGUGCCCGUGUAAAGGUUAUCCUUGUGUGAUUCAAAUGCUGGUUUCUCUGCCCCCACAUCUUGUUCCAAUCUGGACAUGGCAUUGUUGUGUUUAUUCUUAGAAUCUCCUGUCUCAAUUUUGUAUAAACAUUGCUCCUCAUUCAUUCUCUGCCUUGCCAAUAAAAGCCACAGAGCCAAUACAGAGCUUUAGAGAGAAUAAGGUGGGACUUCAGAUUCUAAGAGGGGAGAAAAAGAGACAGCAUGUGAAGGAGGGAACCAUGAGGAGAGUUGAAGAGGCUUCAGCAGAGAGCUGGAUCAAGAAAGGACAGAAAGCUGGGCAGUGGUGGCGCACGCUUUUAAUCCCAGCACUCCGGAGACAGAGACAGGUGAAUUUCUGAGUUAGAGGCCAGCCUGGUCUACACAGUGAGUUCCAGGACAGCCAGAGCUACACAGAGAAACCCUGUCUCCAAAAAAAGAAAAGAAAAGAAAAAAAUCAGUCUUAGAAGUGGGAAAGACAAAGCUUUUAUAGCUCAGGGGUAGAGAAUCCAAAUUGGGGAUUUGGCAGGCAGAAUAGGUGGAGCUACAGGAAAAUAACCUAAUUAUAACAAGUUACUCAUAACAGUAUCCUGAAAUAAAGGCAUGGUUGCAAAGUGGUCAUAAAAGGUAGUCAUAACAACCUUUUGAAACAAAGAUAGAACCGCCAGAUAGUUAUAAUAACUUUUUGAAACAAAGACAUGUUUGCUAUUUCCUGGAACAUGCGGUACAGACCAUUUGUAGUUAAGGUUACGGGUUGGGCAGAGCCCAGUUCUUGAGAAAUAGAGAUUUAAUCAUAAGCAGGAAUGAACCUAGUUUGUCUUUACUAUAGGAUAGCUGUAAAGCUAAGAUGGAGGCAGGCUGGUUCAUCAUUGUUAAGAACCCUUCGAAUAAAUCCUCAUGGGCUGCUUAAGAACACUGGCUGCUCUUGCAGAGGACCUUAGUUUGAUUCCCAGCAACCACAUGGCAUAACUCCUUAGUUUCUGGUAAUCUGUGUGGUGUCUCCCUUUCCCCCAACCCCCACCACAUUCAAAACCUCCUUGCACUGUGUGGGUCCUGGAGAUCAGACUUGGGCUUAGCAACAUUUCUCUUUACCUGCCUGAUAUCUUGUUUUUACUUUUUUUGUUUUGUUAUUGUUGUUUUUCUUUCUUUUGGGGGGGGUGUUGGGUUUUUUUGUUUGUUUGUUUUGUUUUGUUUUUGGGUUUUUUUUCGAGACAGGGUUUCUCUGUGUAGCCCUGGCUGUCCUGGAACUCACUUUGUAGACCAGGCUUGGCCUCGAACUCAGAAAUCCACCUGCCUCUGCCUCCCAAGUGCUGGGAUUAAAGGCGUACGCCACCAUACCUGGCUUCUUUCUUUAUUUCUUUUUUUUUUUUUUAAAGAUUUAUUUAUUAUAUGUAAGUACACUAUAGCUGUUUUUUCAGACACACCAGAAGAGGGCAUUUGAUCUGAUCGUUGUGAGCCACCAUGUGGUUGCUGGGAUUUGAACUCAGGACCUCUGGAAGAACAGUCAGUGCUCUUAACCACUGAGCCAACUCUCCAGCUCUCACUCUGGCCCCGCUUGCUCCAGGGCUGUCUUCAGAGACCAUAGAAGAGAGCAUCAGAUCUCAUUAUGGAUGGUUGUGAGUGACCAUGUGGUUGCUGGGAUUUGAAUUCAGGACCUUCGAAAGAACAGUCAGCUCUCGUAACCACUGAGCCAUCUCUCCAGCCCCAUUGUUACCGUUUUUUUUCAAGACAGGGUUUCUCCUUGUAGACUAGGCUGAUCUUGAACUCAGAGAUCACCCUGUCUCUGUGCCUCCUAUGUACUAGGAUUAAAGCAGGCUCCACCAUCGCCCUGCCUUUUUUCUUUUUCAGUGCUGGGUUUUGAAUGUUGUGUGUAUGCAGGUGCACAUAUAUAUGUAGCUGUGUAGGCAUGUGUGUGUACUGGUGUCUGGGAGGCAGAGGACAAUGCUGGGUAUUGUUCAUUAUGCACUGCCUCCCUUGUGUUUUGAAAUAGGGUCUCACUGGCCUGGAACUCACCAAGUAGUUAGACUGGCCCAUGAGCCUCAUACUCUAGUUAGACUGGCUCAUGAGCCUCAUAGGCUUGCCUGUUUGACCUUCCCUUAGUGUUAGCCACCGGACCUCACUCUUUUAUGUGGAUUCUAAGGAUUAAACCCAGGUCCACUCGAUAUGUGAGAUAGUGCAGUGGGUGAAGGUACUUGCUUUUAACCGUGGCUGAGUUCCAAUCCCAGGACCCUCACAGUGAGAGGAGAAAACCAACUCCUAGGCAUUGUCAUUUGGAGCUCCUAGGCAUGAUGGCAGGUGCACCCCCACCCCUGAGAAACGCAAUAAACUAAGUUCUUCAUAAAAAGAAAAAGAAAGUUGCUUGGUAAGUGUAUAAGUAUUCAGUACUCUAUUUUCUCUACUUUUUCUUGAUUAUUUCAUUUCUCCAGACAGUGCAGCCCAGGCUGGCCUCAAACUCACUAUAUAGCUAAGGAUGACUUUGAACUUCUCAUCUUUCCGCCUCUGUCUCCCAAAUGCCAUGACUUCAGAGUACCCACCACACCACACUUUAUUCACUUCACUCUUCUGUAGAUUUACCCUAGGACUCGUGCAUGCCAGAAAUGCACUCCACCUUACAAUGGAGCUAUAUUCCCAGUCCCAUGUUUAAUUUUUUUUGCUUUGUUUUGUUUUUUGUUUUUUCAAGACAGGGUUUCUCUGUAUAACCCUGGCUGUCCUGGAACUCACUUUGUAGACCAGGCUGGCCUCGAACUCAGAAAUCCACCUGCCUCUGCCUCCCGAGUGCUGGGAUUAAAGGCGUGCGCCACCACGCCUGGCGAUUUAUUUUUUUUAAGGCUGGAAAGAUAGUUCAGUGGUUAAGAGCACUUAUUGCUUUUUUUUUAGAGGACCAGAGAUCAGUUCCCAGCACCCACAUGGGACAUCUUACAACCUGUAGCUACAGUUCCAGGAGAUCUAAUACCGUUUUUAGCCACUGUGCCCACCUGCGUACACAUGUUGCACUUACAUACAGUCACAUAUGUGCACACACAUAAAAUAAUUUUUAAAUUUGUUAUUGUUAGUUAUGUGUAGGUGUGUGAGCGUGUAAGUGCAGAUGAGUGCAGGCAUCUGACCCCCUGGAGCUGGAGUUACAAGUGAUCAUAAGUUGCUGAGUGUGCAAAGAACCGAGGAUCCAGCGUUCUUAACCACUGAGCCGUCUCUUCAGCUCCCGCAUGUUUUAUAUUUUAUAUAUUUAAAACAAACC
rnacentral:lncRNA from 1 species